rnacentral:misc_RNA from 1 species
AACAUCUCAAAACUCUUGUCCUUUGUUGGAUGAUAGUAUUGGAUUUGAGUGAUCCCAAAGGUUUUUCUUCUAAAACUGACUGGGUCACUUGAAAUGCAGAUGCCAGAGUAAUUUCUUCUGAGCGAAAAGCAUAUCCAUUUAGUCCUCUUUUGAGGUCUAUUAACUUUGCUUCAGCUAAUAUAAAGGAAGAUUUUAUUCGAGCUUUAUCGCAGGAAUCUUGUCAUUCUUUAUUGAAAGACUUGUAA